AAGAGCCGCCCAGAGGUCCCCUGCCCAGCUGCGGGCUCAGAGGCUGAACCCGGGGCAUCUCCGCCAUGGCCUGGACCCCUCUCCUGCUCCCCCUGCUCACUCUCUGCACAGGCUCUGUUGUCUCCCAGCAGCUGACCCAGUCGGGCCCUUUGUCAGUGGCCCCGGGAGGGACGGCCAGCUUAACCUGCACUGCAGAUUUCCUGGAUAAAAGAUAUACUCACUGGCACCAGCAGAAGCCCGGCCAGGCCCCUGUGGCGGUCAUUUACAAGGAUAGCGAGCGGCCCUCAGGGAUCCCGGACCGAUUCUCGGGCUCCAGCUCAGGGAAGACUGUCACCCUGACCAUCAGCGGGGUCCGGGCCGAGGACGAGGCUGACUAUUACUGUCUGUCUAGUACCAGUGAUGACAAUCUCACAGUGAUACAGGCAGAUGGGGAAGUGGGACAGAAACCCCGUCCCUGUCUGUGUAACAGGCUCCUCCAGCCGCAGGAGAACUGUAGAUAA